AUAAUUGGUUUCUACACUCUUUAAUUAGUGUAUGACUUGCUCAUAUAUUCAUAUCUAGCCAGGUUCCUGCAAAUUGGGUUUAAGAGAUGUCUACAUCUAGGAUCUAGCUGGGCUCCAACAAAAGAGAUUCUUUGUUGUCCUCCUAGGAAUCUCUCUGAAGCGUAGUUCUAUUUUAGGAUAAGCCGCAAGAAAGUGAGUGGGGCAAAACUGUCGCCAUUAUCGAUAUACUCUUCCACCUACGAUGCCCGCUGUAACUCCCAUGGGUGGCCUUACCGCCAUCAUCAGUCCUUCAACUUGUCAAGAUGAAAAGCAGCAUGAAUCCAAGAAGGAACAAAUUAAUUUUUUCCAAGACUGAUUUGUUUUUUUUGUAUCUUCGCUCCAAGUUUGUAUCUCCACCAUGUUCACUUGUAUCAUCCAAGAAAAUUAGACAUUCUGAAAUCUUCAUCGGAUGUUUGAUUCCAUUUUUACUAUAAAAUAGACUAAAUAGGCUAUGACAUUAUCUUCUCUAUGAAGAAGUUGUUCAUCCA